GACGAACGCUGGCGGCGUGCCUAAUACAUGCAAGUAGAACGCUGAAGGAGGAGCUUGCUUCUCUGGAUGAGUUGCGAACGGGUGAGUAACGCGUAGGUAACCUGCCUGGUAGCGGGGGAUAACUAUUGGAAACGAUAGCUAAUACCGCAUAAUAGUAGAUGUUGCAUGACAUUUGCUUAAAAGUUGCAAUUGCAUCACUACCAGAUGGACCUGCGGUGUAUUAGCUAGUUGGUGAGGUAACGGCUCACCAAGGCAACGAUACAUAGCCGACCUGAGAAGGUGAUCGGCCACAAUGGGACUGAGAAACGGCCCAGACUCCUACGGGAGGGAGCAGUAGGGGAGCUUCGGCAAUGGACGGAAGUCUGACCGAGAAAAGCCGCGGGAGUGAAGAAAGUUCUCGGAUCGUAAAGAUCUGUUGUAAGAGAAGAAAAAGUGUGAGAGUAGAAAGUUCACGCUGUGACGGUAUCUUAACAGAAAGGGACGGCUAACUACGUG
rnacentral:rRNA from 1 species